UACAGAGGUCUCAAGCGUUGUUCGGAUUCAUUGGGCGUAAAGGGUGCGUAGGCGGCGCGGUAAGUCGGGUGUGAAAUCUCGGAGCUUAACUCCGAAACUGCAUUCGAUACUGCCGUGCUUGAGGACUGGAGAGGAGACUGGAAUUUACGGUGUAGCGGUGAAAUGCGUAGAUAUUGUGAGGAACACUAGUGGCGAAGGCGAGACUCUGGACAGUUCCUGACGCUGAGGCACGAAGGCCAGGGGAGCAAACGGG
rnacentral:rRNA from 1 species